rnacentral:lncRNA from 1 species
CGGGGGUUGAAUAGGGGCAUUCACAUGUGUCCUUGGAUGUCUCCAGAAGUACAUAGGAGCCGGUACCUAGACGAAAGCUGGUUCAUCUACAAUCAAUUGAUUGUAUUAUUGAUAGUUGAAAACUCGCUGUUCUAAAUACAAAGUUGCAAAUCGAAUCAUGAUUGGUAAUGAUUGCAGUUAUAAUAUCCCUAAUACUACACUUCGUAUACACAGUACGAUACACUUGUUUUAGAUUUUCAAAGAAUCGAGAUGUUUACGUAGACAAUAUGAAACGUGACUGAAGAUGCAAAAUUUUUGGAAAUAGAACAAAACCAAGUUCAAGAACAUAUACUUCCUUCUCACAUGUUACAAAUUUGUCUGGAAAAUCAACUAAUCUUUCAUUCGCUUGCAGAACAUUGCUAACAUUAAGAACUACAUGCGUCAAUAUCAAUACGCCCCCAAAGUUCUCAUUCGAGAUAAGUUGAUCUGACCUCUAAAGAAUUGGAAAGCCUCGUUGGAUUUUCUGUUCGUUUUUCAACACAAUGUGAGUAAACCAGGCCUGUGUCUUCGAUGUACUCAAGUCUGUUUCCUACAAUCAGAGGUUUUUUGAACGUCAAGUCAAGCCACAGUCUCUUGAGAAACCUGAAGAACACUUCACACGCUUGUUACCACCAUGACUAAACCAACGAACGCCAGAAAAUCUAGUCAUUCUGUUUCCUGUUGUUGCGAACAAGCGUAGUGAAGAUGGCAAAGGUUGUCGAACACAGGUCCCAAGCCUCUUCAGCAAUUACUCUGGUCGCCACUUUAAUUUGAAUAGUGGUGUUACAUUGCUAUUGGUGUAGCGCUACCUCAUCACAUUAUCAACGAGCAAUUAAUGGUUUCCACUUGUUGAUAAACGCAUUAAACAAAUUUUCUCGGAAGAAACUUUCUUGUGAUGUGCUGACUUGUGAAUGAUCUUGUUAUCAUUAUCUAUCUUGGAGCGAAGCACAUGGCACGUGCUACACGUCCUGACAUCUGCCAUUGCCAACUCAACUCCAUAUUUUUCAUUACAAAGCUGUGAAAUCCACAAUUAUGUUUGCGUGAAGUUGUUACAAUUUUUUCAACUAGUGUUAGUAAUUUACGCCUACUCAAUUUUGAUGUCAAGAAUUCUUAUUCAUUGACGCAAACAACUUGAAAAUGACUAAAGAACUUUAGUAAACUUAUUAGACCUGCCAUGGUGUGUUUCAAAUUUUGUAACAAUUUGAGGUGAAUUUGAUAUUUUUCUAUAUAACCAAUAUAGUACAAUAAUAAAACCUCAUAUUUCUUAAGUUGCUUAAUUAUAUUUAGGAAUAUUUUAAAAUUACUUUUUUCAUUGAAAUAUGAUUAAAACCUGUAAUUUUCAUUUAUUGCUAGACAUGCAUUCUUCAAGAGAAUAGUUCAGCAGAUAACGCAUGAUGCAUAGGUUAGGGCAGGGGUAUACAGGUCACUAGGACCUCAUCAUACCCCAUUAUGCAUAGUUCAGUUAGGUUAAAUUGUAUUAUCUUUUUCUUAAAAGAAAAAUAUUUUUGUGAACAACAAAAAUGUACUAUUAAAUGAAUUUACUUUAA